GACGAACGCUGGCGGCGUGCUUAACACAUGCAAGUCGAACGGUGAACUCCGCUUGCGGGGGGUUCAGUGGCGACCGGGUGAGUAACACGUGGGCAACCUGCCCUCAGCUCUGGGAUAACUCCAAGAACUUGGGGCUAAUACCGGUUAUGACUGCUGACCGCAUGGUCUGGUUUUGGUAAGAUUUAUCGGCUGGGGAUUGGCCCGCGGCCUAUGCGCUUGUUGGUGGGGUAGUGGCCGACCAAGCCGCCGACCGGUAGCCGGCAUGAGAGGGUGACCGGCCACAAGGGGACUGAGAGACGGAGCAGAAGCGUACGGGAGGCAGUAGGGGGGAACAUGGCGGAAUGGGCGAAAGCCUGACGCAGCGACGCCGGGUGGGGGAUGACGGCCUUCGGGUUGUAAACAUCUGUGAGCAGGGACGAAGAGAAAGUGACGGUACCUGCAGAAGAAGCACCGGCUAACUACGUG
rnacentral:rRNA from 1 species